CUUGGCCACCAAAAUGUCCGCGACCUGCUCUACAUCAAAUUCCUAUAUAAAUUUGCAAUGCAUAUGCACACAUUACUCUUCAUUGGCCAUCUUGAAAAAUCCAUUCAUCGUAAAAGGUUCUUACCAUCCUAUUUGUAGCAUAAAAAAUGAAUGGCCAUGUUCAUUUAUAAUAAAAAGUAGGUCAAAUUAUCAAUUUCAAUAAUCAAUUGGUGGUGUCAUAUUCAGCUUGAGUUUUUCUUGUGGUUUCGAAACAAUUGCUUUCGUUAGGUGGUGGUAAUCAUCUGAUCCAUGGGUUGGAAAGUGGACAUUUAUAUUAAAAGGGCUGAUGUUAUCCAGUCUGUUUGAUUUUCUGAAAGUGGCUUAUGAAAAGUACAUUCGAUAGAACAAAAGGUCAAGAUUAAUCUUAUCAAUACCCCGUGUCCGAUUGCAGCUAUCUACAGGGAAGGUUCCCAUAUGUAUAGCCCACUCGAGCAUUUCUCCAUUUGUUUUCUUUUGUAGCCUUCUGUAGUUUAGUAUAUGGGGUUCCAAAGAUGUAUGUUCCAAGACCAUGAUUACAUUCAGCUUCUAUGCAUUUGCCAAUAAGUGACAAUAUGUACUUUGCCAUGUUCAGAGGCUUAGUUCUUAUACAUAUUUGAAUUGGUUGAAAGGUAUAGAAAAUUCAACUCCCAAUAAUUUGCCACAUAAAGGACUUGUUCUGGACUUGCAGUCUAUGACUCUUCAUGAAGGCUUCUGGAUCGAUGUUGCAUUAUUCCAACAGGACAACAAUUGAGGCAUAUCAAGCAGAUUAAGCAAUCCACUCUAAUGCCCUGCAUGUCCACAAGCACUGUGUUGAAUGGUAUCCAUAUGGUCAUGAGGAACUUGUUGUUUGUGAGGACGUUGAUCAGGCAAGUUUCUGUGGAAAUUGCAUGAAAACUGUUAAAUUGUGUAAUGAAAUCUGUAAAAUUCCUCAUCAAUGUUUGUUUUUUUUGGUUUUGUUUUGUUUUGUUUUGUUUUGAAGGCUACCUUCCAUUUUCUCAUAUGAAAAGCUGAUUGUGCUAGCAUUGAUAAGUCCAUUCAAAAUUGUGUUUGUAGGCUUGGACUAUUUGGGUCAUACACUGCAGUUGGAACCCAUAUGAAAUUUCUCCACAUGAAUUUAUCUCUAGUAGUCCAUUUUCCACUAUUUUAGGCUACCUGGCAUUCUCCAGCAGUCCAUUUUCUUCUCAUUUUUAAUUGCCUGCUGUCGUAAGUUUCAGAUUUAGAAUUUUCAUAUUUCUUGCUGCUGCAUGUGGCUAGUUUGAAGAACCUGAAAAGUACGACUCUAGAUAUGUCUUCUGCAUUAUGCUGAAUCAUUUUUGAAGCAGUUUCAGGCUUGAAAGAUCAAACUACUAGAGAGAGAUCGUGGGGAUUCGACUAAGGAAGAGGUCAUUUCUUAUAGAAUUGGUU